rnacentral:rRNA from 1 species
GACGAACGCUGGCGGCGUGCUUAACACAUGCAAGUCGAACGGAGAUUAUUAAUGAAGCUUGCGAUUUAAUAAUCUUAGUGGCGGACGGGUGAGUAACGCGUGGGCAACCUACCCAUAAGAGGGGGAUAACAGCUGGAAACGGCUGCUAAUACCGCAUAAACUUUUUAAGACACAUGUUUUAGAAAGGAAAGGUGGCGCAAGCUAUCGCUUAUGGAUGGGCCCGCGUCUGAUUAGCUAGUUGGUGGGGUAACGGCCUACCAAGGCAACGAUCAGUAGCCGGCCUGAGAGGGUGGACGGCCACACUGGGACUGAGACACGGCCCAGACUCCUACGGGAGGCAGCAGUGGGGAAUAUUGCGCAAUGGGGGAAACCCUGACGCAGCGACGCCGCGUGAGCGAAGAAGGCCUUAGGGUUGUAAAGCUCUGUUCUAUGGGACGAAGUCCUUGACUGUGAAUAAUGGUCAAGGUUGACGGGUACCAUAGGAGGAAGCCCCGGCUAACUACGUGCCAGCAGCCCGAC